rnacentral:lncRNA from 13 species
CUCUCUAUCCUGCUUUGUCCUUCCUGAAGUAAAUUCCAGUUCAUCAAUAUCUGGUGCAGAUUGUGGCAUUCAGAAAGGAGGAAGAUUCUUCUGGUGAAGUAAUUGAUGCUUAUGCAUUGGUUUCUGCCGCUGAUAGGGUCUGGAUACACUCAAUCUGACAUUCCAAUAUACUCAGUGAAAGCUGCCAAUACCAGGAUGGAGUCAUUUACAUUAGACCAAAAGCAAACAAGAUAUAAAAGCCUUGGGCAUGUCUUUAUAGCAGUAUGGGAACACACUGAUACAGGAGGUCAUGAAAGAGAAGAUCUUAUGCAUACAUGUCUGAGGUAAGCACUAUCACAAGGACCGACUAAGCACCCACAAGAAAUGUGUGCACUCCUGGCAUGCCCUGCUCAUUCUGUAUGUGUGUCUGACACGGAACUCAUUAUAAAAAAAAUCCUCAAG